rnacentral:rRNA from 1 species
GUGGGGAAUAUUGCACAAUGGGCGAAAGCCUGAUGCAGCGACGCCGCGUGGGGGAUGACGGCCUUCGGGUUGUAAACCUCUUUUACCACCAACGCAGGCUCCACGUUCUCGUGGGGUUGACGGUAGGUGGGGAAUAAGGACCGGCUAACUACGUGCCAGCAGCCGCGGUAAUACGUAGGGUCCGAGCGUUGUCCGGAAUUAUUGGGCGUAAAGAGCUCGUAGGCGGCAUGUCGCGUCUGCUGUGAAAGACCGGGGCUUAACUCCGGUUCUGCAGUGGAUACGGGCAUGCUAGAGGUAGGUAGGGGAAACUGGAAUUCCUGGUGUAGCGGUGAAAUGCGCAGAUAUCAGGAGGAACACCGGUGGCGAAGGCGGGUUUCUGGGCCUUACCUGACGCUGAGGAGCGAAAGCAUGGGGAGCGAACAGGAUUAGAUACCCCAGUAGUCC